ACCUAUUUGGUAGCAGAGUAACAGUCUGGUUGUGAGAGGAAGCUCAAGGUCCAUCCCAAAGCCAGACCCUUCCUACUCUGUGGUUCAGAUAGAUGCAGCAGCCAGAAGCUCUCCUGGAUCAGGGGAUAAGGGUUAUAGAUCCCCACUCCAAAACCUGGAUCAAGCUUGAGUGGGAGGCCAGACAGCCUGGCCCACAUCUGUCUAAAGUCACUGGGAUGAGCCCAGAUUUCUUUGAUGAGGACUGUUCUGCCAUGGGAAGUUUUCUCCUUUUGCCCCUCCAUGAGCUGGGAAUUGGGCAGUUCCUCCGCCCUAGACCAGCAGGCAGGAGCUGAGCUGCUCAGAGUGUGUCUGGAGGAGGAGUGGAGGAGGAGAAGGAGGAGAAGGAGGAGGAGGGUAGACCAUCAGCUCAACCUGAAACCCAGAGACUGGCAGGAACCAGGGAGAUGGACCUCUCCUGGACCAUCAACAUCAGGUCAUUCUGCAGCUACCAUCAGCCCAUAAGGAGACAGAGGGAGUCCUGCCCUGCAAGCCAAUAGGCUGCUCAGAAUUCAGAAAGGCGGAAAUGCUGACUUUAGAGCUGGAGGCUGAGGAUUCAAAUAGUGAGACCCUGGGCAGAGGAGAACCUACUUAAUCUCAGUCUCAGUUUCCUCAUUUGUAAAAUGAGGGGCUUAGACUAAAUAAAUUUGAAAGUCCCCUUUAAAGCUAUGAUCCUAAAUUAAAUAUUGUUUUACACCUCGGAAGCCAAACCUCUCCUGGGAGUCAAGUUCUUUCCAUAAGAGGAAAGGGAAAGCUCUCCCACAGUAUUAAGGGGCCGGGGCUUGUUGUUUGUCCUUCCUUCUGGAAGAGGAACUGGAUUGGAGGGAGGGAGGGUUGGGCAGGGUCCCCUCCAGAGCCAUCUGGGUCCAGUGGCCAGAUAUAAAUCAGGACGACUGGAGAAGGCCCCGGAUGCAGGGGGAGGCCUCAGCCUUUUUAAGCUAAGGUCUUCAACAGGUCUCAGCUUGACUGAAGCAAGGCCCAAUCGGUGAUAAGGCGAGGCAGGAAGCAAGGGCUUGUGGGCU